rnacentral:tRNA from 1 species
GUUUUAAUAAUUUAAUAAAAAUAUUGAAUUUGUAAUUCAAAAAUAAGAAACACUUUUAAAACU